UACGGAGGGUGCAAGCGUUGUUCGGAUUUAUUGGGCGUAAAGCGCGUGUAGGCGGUUUGUUAAGUCUGUUGUGAAAGCCCUGGGCUCAACCCGGGAAGUGCACUGGAUACUGGCAGACUUGAAUACGGGAGAGGAGAGUGGAAUUCCUGGUGUAGGAGUGAAAUCCGUAGAUAUCAGGAGGAACACCGGUGGCGAAGGCGGCUCUCUGGACCGAUAUUGACGCUGAGACGCGAAAGCGUGGGUAGCAAACAGG
rnacentral:rRNA from 1 species